rnacentral:lncRNA from 1 species
GUGCGAGUUGGGCAUCCGUGUAUUGUGUUUACAUUCUUGUUUGCACUUUACUCCUGAACGGUUUGAGCUAUAACCAACAAAAUAAAACCCAACCCUCCCUCCGUUGUGCAAAUAUUUGUAGUAUAAUUUUAUAGAUAUCAAUACACUUUUACACAAGUUAUUGUCCGGAAACCAGAAAAACGUUGUUUUGCUUAUUAUGGCCAGUUUUUGGUCCCUAAUUCUUUUAAACCAUGAUAUGGGACCAUAACAUUCAAAUUCUAAUUUAACGCUAUCAUUGAUUACUCAUCAUUUGCACAGGUCUGAUCUGCAUUUCUUUUGCGCUGAUUUUUUUUUUUAUUUCUUUUUUGCCGAAUUUGUGUUUCAUUUGCGUUGUUUGUGUACAUGUUACUUAC